GGCAUUUUGGCACGGGAGUAGCUUUGGGACAACCAGGACGUUACUUAUAGUAGCGUCCCUGUUCUGGAUGCCACUUAUACUGGCAUUUUUAUGUCAAUGCUCAUCAACGCAGAAUUUUCGCCUCUAGACGCUACUAAUACUAGCAUUUUGCUGUCCUCCCUUUUCAUGUCACCCACAUUUACACCGUUUUGAUAAAUAACUGAAACACAACACUUUUUCAGUAAUUUAUUUGGUAGAAUGCCUUGUAUGGUCAAUUCCCUUGUUAUUCAUUGUGCAAGAUUCUCUUGUUUAUUAACCAUCAGUGAUUUUCACACUUUUGGUCACUUUCUUUUCCUUUCUAUAUAACAAAACGAACACUAACACAAAACAACAUCUCUUACGAUUCUAUC
rnacentral:misc_RNA from 1 species